rnacentral:tRNA from 1 species
GCGCGGGUGGCGAAAUGGCAGACGCACUACCUUGAGGUGGUAGCGCCCUUACGGGCAUGGAGGUUCAAGUCCUCUCCCGCGCA